rnacentral:rRNA from 1 species
UACGGCGGGUGCGAGCGUUGUCCGGAAUCAUUGGGCGUAAAGGGCGCGUAGGUGGCCCGGUCAGCGUGCGGUGAAAGCUCGGGGCUCAACCCCGAGUCGGCCGUGCGAACUGCUGGGCUUGAGCACUGUAGAGGCAGGCGGAAUUCCGGGUGUAGCGGUGGAAUGCGUAGAGAUCCGGAAGAACACCGGUGGCGAAGGCGGCCUGCUGGGCAGUGGCUGACACUGAGGCGCGAAAGCGUGGGGAGCAAACAGG